rnacentral:sRNA from 1 species
GGCUUGCGAUGGCCAGAUACUCAAAGUGACUAGUCAGACUUAAGACUAUUAUGUAAUUUUAAUCAUGGAAUUUAUUUUUACUUUAAAGCAAGAUGGAAAGUUGCCUUUUGUUCCUCCGGAGGAAGAAUUUAUUAUGGGAGUUUCCAAGUAUGGCAUAAAAGUAUCAACAUCAGAUCAAUAUGAUGUUUUGCACAGGCAUGCUCUCUACUUAAUAAUCCGGAUGGUGUGUUACGAUGAUGGUCUGGGGGCGGGAAAAAGCUUACUGGCUCUGAAGACCACAGAUGCAAGCAAUGAAGAAUACAGCCUGUGGGUUUAUCAGUGCAACAGCCUGGAACAAGCACAAGCCAUUUGCAAGGUUUUAUCCACCGCUUUUGACUCUGUAUUAACAUCUGAGAAACCCUGAAUCCUGCAAUCAAGUAGAAGUCAACUUCAUCUGAAAGCUCAGCUGUUUUCAAACUGCAAUGCUGAAAUGUUAUGCAAAUAAUGAAGUGAUCCCUUGCUCUAGAUUUUCUGAAGAAAAUGGAUUGUGUAAAAUGCUGAUCAUUUGUUUAUUAAAAUGUGUCCUAUUACACAGUG